rnacentral:rRNA from 1 species
GACGAACGCUGGCGGCGUGCUUAACACAUGCAAGUCGAACGGAAAGGCCCUGCUUGCAGGGUCCUCGAGUGGCGAACGGGUGAGUAACACGUGGGUGAUCUGCCCUGCACUUCGGGAUAAGCCUGGGAAACUGGGUCAAAUACCGGAUAGGAGCCAUUUUUAGUGUGAUGGUUGGAAAGUUUUUUCGGUGUAGGAUGAGCUCGCGGCCUAUCAGCUUGUUGGUGGGGUAAUGGCCUACCAAGGCGGCGACGGGUAGCCGGCCUGAGAGGGUGGACGGCCACAUUGGGACUGAGAGACGGCCCAGACUCCUACGGGAGGCAGCAGUGGGGAAUAUUGCACAAUGGGCGCAAGCCUGAUGCAGCGACGCCGCGUGGGGGAUGACGGCCUUCGGGUUGUAAACUCCUUUCGCGAGGGACGAAGCUUUUUGUGACGGUACCUAGAUAAGAAGCACCGGCUAACUACGUG